AGAAAAUUCUUCAACCACAUUUACACCUUUCUCAUUUACUCCAAACGCCUUGAGACUCAAUCCUCUGGCAAAAUCCAGUUGUCAGAAAGCUGAUUCUCUUCAAUUCUGGACUGAGAAUUCUUUUGAGACCGCUGAGAACAUGUCCAGCUCCACAAUGCAUUGAUAAUGAAAACCUCAUCUUACUUUUUCACUGAAAGAAACAUCUCAGUCCUUUAAAUUCAGCCAAAAAUUAGAUGAAAUUUACAAUUAACUCUAUGCCUGAAAGCAACCUUAAGCACUGAAAAUAAGUCCCCAUGAAAGAAAGUUUCUCAUUCAUCCAGGAUUACCCUGCCCUGAGGAAAACUGUAGAAGAAACAGGAGAAAAGAAUGAUUAGGGGAUUAGGACUGCUGGCUUUCUCUAUAGAACCUUGUCCUUCUGGGAAGGCUGGAAUUAAACACCUGGGAAUGAUUGAACUUUGCAUGUUCUGCUAGUCCUCAAGGGAGGCUGUUAAAAUGUCACUGUCGUUCAUAAAAGCCAAAGGAAAGAAGAGUACAAAUGAACUACCCUGAAUGGAAACCCUGAAGACUUGCAAGAGCUGCUUGAAAUCAAAUGGAGACUGAAGAAGAUUAAAUGCAUAAAAUAAUAAUUGCUGUUCUCAUUAUCCCAGUCUCUGAAGUGGCAUUACUAAGGCUGCCUCAAAGUAGUAUGGGUGAUGAGAACAGAUCCUAGGAAGAAUUUUAGUUGUCUCAUACAAGAAUACUCAGCAGGUAAUAUCU